rnacentral:rRNA from 1 species
UGGAUUAGUGGCGAACGGGUGAGUAACACGUGAGUAACCUGCCCCUGACUCUGGGAUAAGCGUUGGAAACGACGUCUAAUACUGGAUAUGACUACUGGUCGCAUGGCCUGGUGGUGGAAAGAUUUUUUGGUUGGGGAUGGACUCGCGGCCUAUCAGCUUGUUGGUGAGGUAAUGGCUCACCAAGGCGACGACGGGUAGCCGGCCUGAGAGGGUGACCGGCCACACUGGGACUGAGACACGGCCCAGACUCCUACGGGAGGCAGCAGUGGGGAAUAUUGCACAAUGGGCGAAAGCCUGAUGCAGCAACGCCGCGUGAGGGAUGACGGCCUUCGGGUUGUAAACCUCUUUUAGUAGGGAAGAAGCGAAAGUGACGGUACCUGCAGAAAAAGCACCGGCUAACUACGUGCCAGCAGCCGCGGUAAUACGUAGGGUGCAAGCGUUGUCCGGAAUUAUUGGGCGUAAAGAGCUCGUAGGCGGUUUGUCGCGUCUGCUGUGAAAUCCCGAGGCUCAACCUCGGGCUUGCAGUGGGUACGGGCAGACUAGAGUGCGGUAGGGGAGAUUGGAAUUCCUGGUGUAGCGGUGGAAUGCGCAGAUAUCAGGAGGAACACCGAUGGCGAAGGCAGAUCUCUGGGCCGUAACUGACGCUGAGGAGCGAAAGCGUGGGGAGCGAACAGGAUUAGAUACCCUGGUAGUCCACGCCGUAAACGUUGGGCGCUAGAUGUAGGGACCUUUCCACGGUUUCUGUGUCGUAGCUAACG